GAUGAACGCUGGCGGCGUGCCUAAUACAUGCAAGUCGAGCGAACAGACGAGGAGCUUGCUCCUCUGACGUUAGCGGCGGACGGGUGAGUAACACGUGGAUAACCUACCUAUAAGACUGGGAUAACUUCGGGAAACCGGAGCUAAUACCGGAUAAUAUAUUGAACCGCAUGGUUCAAUAGUGAAAGACGGUUUUGCUGUAACUUAUAGAUGGAUCCGCGCCGCAUUAGCUAGUUGGUAAGGUAACGGCUUACCAAGGCAACGAUGCGUAGCCGACCUGAGAGGGUGAUCGGCCACACUGGAACUGAGACACGGUCCAGACUCCUACGGGAGGCAGCAGUAGGGAAUCUUCCGCAAUGGGCGAAAGCUUGACGGAGCAACGCCGCGUGAGUGAUGAAGGUCUUCGGAUCGUAAAACUCUGCUAUUAGGGAAGAACAAAUGUGUAAGUAACUAUGCACGUCUUGACGGUACCUAAUCAGAAAGCCACGGCUAACUACGUG
rnacentral:rRNA from 1 species